AAAUUGCUUCUGCCGACCAUUUCUCCACGGAAGUAAAGGUGGGGCAGCUAGGAAGGAGAUCCCGGAGGCCAAUUCCAUCACCACCUCCCCCAGAAACCAAUAGAUUUACUCAUUGGUGGAUCGUUACACCGCCACCACCUAUGCCAUCGUUACCGCCACCACCUAUGCCAUCGUUGCCGCCGUCCCCAUCUCCACUAUCGUCAUCUAAAGGCGCAUGAAUUUUA
rnacentral:lncRNA from 1 species